UUAAAAUAUCUCCACUUUUCUUUUGAAGAUGAACGAAAGUCUUAGAUGGUUUGGAGCAUCUUAAGGCUUCUGCAAGCGUGUAUGGCGUCUGGCUUUUGGAACCUCACUGUGACUUCAGAUAAGAACAAAGAUUAAAUUGUAAGAAGGGUUGCUUAUAUGAGAGCAUAGAGUACAUCUCAAACUG